rnacentral:rRNA from 1 species
GACAGAGGUGCCGAGCGUUAGGCGGAAUCACUGGGCUUAAAGCGUGUGUAGGCGGGCAGGCAAGUACCUUGUGAAAUCCCACGGCUCAACCGUGGAACUGCUGGGUAUACUGCCUGUCUUGAGCCAGCUAGGGGCGAGCGGAACAGACGGUGGAGCGGUGAAAUGCGUAGAUAUCGUCUGGAACGCCGAAGGUGAAAACAGCUCGCUGGGGCUGUGCUGACGCUGAGACACGAAAGCCAGGGGAGCGAACGGG